AUGCAAUCCGUUCUGCCUGUGCAAUGCGAUGCAAUGCAUUCACUGUUUGCAAUGCAAUGUGUUCUGCAUCUGCAAUGCAAUGUAACGCACUCAGUCUUUGCAAUGCAAUCUGCUCGCAAUCUGCAAUGCAAUGUGUUCUGCAUGUGCAAUGCAAUGCAAUGUGCUCUGUAUUUGCAAUCUGCUUGCAAUCUGCAAUGCAAUGCAAUCUGUUCUGCUUGUGCAAUGCAAUGCAACCCGCUCUGCACCUGCAAUGCAAUGCAAAGCUCUCAGUAUUUGCAAUGCACUCUGCUCUGCACCUGCAAUGCAAUGCAACGCGUUCAGUAUUUGCAAUGCAAUCUGCUCGCAAUCUGUAAUGCAAUGCAAUGUGUUCAGUAUUUGCAAUGCAACGUUUUCUGCUUGUGCAAUGCAAUGCAAUACAUUCAGUAUUUGCAAUGCAAUCUGUCCUGCAUCUGCAAUGCAAUGCAACCUGCUCAGUCUUUGCAAUGCAAUCUGCUUGCAAUCUGCAAUGCAAUGCAACGUGUUUGCUAUUUGCAUUGCAAUGCAACCUGCUCUGCACCUGCAAUGCAAUGCAACGCGUUCAGUAUUUGCAAUGCAAUCUGCUCGCAAUCUGCAAUGCAAUCUGUUCUGCAUCUGCAAUGCAAUGCAAUCUGGGUGGUCUUUGCAAUGCAAUCUGCUUGCAAUCUGCAAUGCAAUGCAAUGUGUUUGCUAUUUGCAACGCAAUGCAACCUGCUCUGCACCUGCAAUGCAAUGCAAUGUAUCCAGUAUUUGCAAUGCAAUCUGUUCUGCAACUGCAAUGCAAUGCAACCUGUUUGGUCUUUGCAAUGCAAUCUGCAGUGCAAUGCAACACGUUUGGUAUUUGCAGUGCAAUGCAAUCUGUUUUGCAUGUGCAAUGCAAUGCAAUGCGCUCAGUAUUUGCAAUGCAAUGUGUUCUGCAUCUGCAAUGCACUUUGUUCUGCAUAUGCAAUGCAAUGCAAUGCACUCCGUAUUUGCAAUGCAAUCUGUUCUGCACGUGCAAUGCAAUGCAAUCUGUUUGGUCUUUGCAACGCAAUCUGCAAUGCAAUGCAACACGUUUGCUAUUUGCAAUGCAAUGCAACCUGCUCUGCACCUGCAAUGCAAUGCAACACGCUCAGUAUUUGCAAUGCAAUC
rnacentral:lncRNA from 1 species